rnacentral:lncRNA from 1 species
GAUUGACAGCAGACUCAUGCACAAAGGUGUUCAGUUAACAGUAUUCAAAUAUCUCAAAUAAACUAUAAUAUUUUAAAUAACCAACAAUAAAUAAGUAUGACCUAUACAGUCAACAGAAUGCCAACCAGACUGAGAUAAUUAUUAAAAAAUUCAGUGACCUUUAUUUCAAAUAUGUUGUCACAAAAGUGCAACAUGAAACAUUCUAUUUAAAAGUCAAAAAUACAACAUACAACAUUGCAUUUAUUUUGUGAUAACCAUCUCUCUUAUUUUAUUCAUAAAAAUAUUCAUAAAAUAAAGAGAGCUGAUCAUCACAAAAUAAAUAGAAUGUCACAUGUUGCAUGUUUGAUCCUUAAAUGGAAAUAUUUACUACCUACAUGAAUAAUAUUUACACAUAUGACCAAACACUGAACACUGAAAAUAAAUAUUUUGAUUGUCAAGGGUAGAUAAUUUUAAAAUGUCUUUCUUCAGAGAUGUUUGGCAUGGGGAAAAUAGUGUAAGAGUGUUUUCACAGAAAGUAUAAGUUCAAAACCUCAACACCACAGCACAUACUUGUAACUGUUUUUUUGUUUGUUUGUUUUGUUUUGUUUUGUUUCUUUCUCACAACCCUUUACAUGGCUGUUUUCCCACUAAUCGUGCCACUUCCACGGCCGGGAUAUAAAACCAUUUUACAACAGUUAUUCUCCCAUGUUUUUCCUUCAUUUUAUAGACAGCUGAAUCCCAGGAUCGAAGCUGUUUCAGCAGACAACUGUUGGGAGCACACAAGAUCUAUUUCAGCUCAAGAAAGGCCAAGGACAAACGGGGAGGGGGCGCGCUGGGAGGAGACUGGGCUGGGGAGGGAUCCCUGUGUGCAGUCCUUCAACCCUUCUGUGCCAACUAUAUUCACUAACUCUCAGCCCAGGCCAGAUCAUCCACCAGCCAGUGAAAGGGACCUCGUCUGUGGCCAAACUAGGUGCAGCUCGGUGCCCUCCUGUGAUAUUUCCAGCUCUCCAGCCUCCUGCUGACCACAGCUCACAGACCUCAUGGAGUAGUUUCCAGGACUGCAUUAGAACUUGCAUUUUAACAAAAUGCACAGAUUGAAAAGCAUAGAUUUGGUUGAUAUUUCCUAUAGGGUACUUGCACUGCCCAUGAAGCAAUAUAGUGUUAUUUGAAAGUGGACUUGGAUUCAUUGUAAGUGUACAUUACAAACUCUAAGGCAAACACUAAAAUAAAAAGAAAUAUAAUUCAUACGCUAAGAAUGAGGAGAAAAUGUAUUUACAUAAAAUGCUCAAACACAACCACAAAAAGCCAGAAAAAGAGUGGAAGAAAAAAAUUAAAACAGAUCACAAGAGUAAUAAAUAAAAAACAGUAACAAAUAUGGUAGACAUCAAUCCAACUAUAUCAAUAAUCACUUCAGAUGUCAAUGGUCUAGAUAAACCAAUUAAAAGACAUUGUCAGAGUGGAUCAAAAAACAAGACCUAGUGAUAUGGUGUCUACAGGAAAUCCACUUUAAAUAUAAAGAAAAAUACAGGUUAAAAGUGAAAUUACUUUCUAAUACAUUAUAUGAGGCAAACUGAUACUUAAACCACAGACACAGUGAGGAAAGAAAAAUACAGGCCAAUAUCUCUCAUGAACAUGGAUUCAAAAAUUUUCAAUAAAAUAUUAGCAGAUUGAAUACAAUGUGUAAAAAAACUAUACACGAAGACCAAGCAGGAUUUAUCACCACCUCGAGUGGGGGUAUGCAAGGCUGAUUCAACAUUUGAAAAUCAAUUAAUGUAAGCCAUCACAUUGACAGGUUAAUGAAGAAAAAUAA